UGUAUAUUAGCACACAUUCAAACUUAAUUGCUUGCACGGCUGUCAUAGAGCCGAAGCUGAGAGUAUAUUAAAUUUUAGCUUUAUCGUUCUCAGAUUGGAACGUUGUUUUUGUUGACUUUUCCCGCAUUCCAUAUGUUUCUAACUUCGAUAAGUUCAUGAAUCACAUUUGAUAGCAGCAACCGCACUAUUUCCAGCAUCAGAACGGUAUUUAAAGGCAAGAACAAUGCAGUUCAUGCCAAGUUUCAUUUUGUGUUGUGAAUUAAAAAAAUUCCUUUAAAAGCUUCAAAAUAAAGUAUACGUCCGACCAAUAUGUUGAAAAAUUGCAAGCUGUUUGCGAUUUUAAUAGCUUUCUUGCCUGUGGCCUGGACAACAGAAUGUUCGACUGAGAAUAAAUCAGUGGAACAAUGUGGCGCAUAUGCAUUUCGGAUCGUAAGCCCAAUGCUUGAGCAUUUUGCAGAGGUUAAAAAUGAAAUCGAAAUGAAAAACAAGAAAGUAGCUGAAUUGAAACAAGUUGCCGAAGCUAAUACAAUAACUCUCAAAAACAAUGAUCAACAAUUAGCAAAACUAAAUGACAAAUCUGUAAUAUGUGAAACGGAGUUGCAGAAUUUAACAAUCCAAAGCUCAAAUUUAAAAGAUAGUUUUAAUAUUAAAGAGGCAGAGGUCUUCCAAGCACAGUCAAACAUAAUCAUUAUACAAGUUGAUUUCAAUUGGCAAUUACAGUGGAAAUGCCGGCAAUUCCAUGAAAUCCCACCAAGGAAGUAAUUUUUCAACCUACGAUAGCGAUAAUGAUGAUUCUAAAAACGGGAAAUGUGCUUCGAUAGUUAAAGCAACCUAAACGGUAAAAGGUUCGACUUUAACGUCGAAGACACGAACGAGUUAAAAGGAUGCAUUUACUGGCAGCAUUGGCAUGGCCGGAGUCACUCCUUAAAAUAUGUCCAAAUGAUGAUACGCCAAUUUGAAUAUAAUUAAUCUAUAUAUCUUAAUUAACA